UUCAUUGAUUCACUUGGCAGAAGCCUUUUUAUUGCUUAUUCAUGUUUCAUUGACAGAGCAAACAACUUUGUUGAUCAUGCUGCAAGGUCGUGAAUGCAAGAUGACAAACCAGGAAGUUACUGUACUCUCACAAGGGCUUAGUUUUAUUACAACAGAACAUAUAUAUACAGGAGACGGACAAAUCCAAGAAUGAAUGAGGUUGCUUGUGUAUUUAGAAACAUUUCCUGUGGACAAUGGAGGGUCCUGCCUCAUCGUAUUCCUGCUUGCUGAUCCACAUCUGCUGGAAGGUGGACAGUGAAGCCAGGAUGGAGCCACCGAUCCAGACGGAG